CGAUUCUAUCUUUCUUGCUCUCUUUUUCUUUUUUCUGGUGAAUAGAAGAUGGCGGUACAGUCACAACCAGUGAUGGUGGCUGGUUUGUAACUCGGGCAAAAUGUCCAGAUCUGAAACUCUGGGCUCUAACUUGUAUUGGGAAACCCUUCCUUCGAUCAGAAUCUCAAAGAGUAAGGGCUAGGUCUGAGAAAUCAACUCACUGCUGUAGGGACUACCACUGUUGUUUAACCAGAAUAUGAUUCAAAAUCUGAAAUUAUUCUCUCUCUCUCUCUCUCUCUCUCUCCCUCUCUCUCACACACACACACACUUGGCAGUAUCCUAGAAGUAGAAGGGUUAUGUCGCAGUGGGGGUGGGGGAGUGACUAAAGAUGGGGCGUUUCUGUUGAAGGCAGGAGGGGUUGGGGAGAUGGAAGGCUGUGGUGUUGUUGCUGUGGCAGAACAUUAACGGGAAAAGAAAGAAUAUGGAAGAAGAGAGAUUGAUAGGUAAGGAUGAUGGAUCCUUCGGCUUUGAUACCAAAAUUGGUGGAAGGGGCUGGUUAGAGGUGAGGAAGCGCCCCCCGGGGGGGGGGGAGGGGGAAGAAGAUCGCACAAUCACUUUGGCCACGCAGGCACUCACGGAUGCUUCACUGUUUCAUUCUUCAAACUCUGCCCGAUGACUUGGGUUACAAGCAUAUUUAUACGAACAAAAUUAAAAGUUUCCUUAUUAAAAUCUAAAACUGAAAUAGAAAUGAAUCUCCUAAUUAUCUGAUUGAAAGAUCACAGCAUUAAUCUAAAUAAGUAAAUAAAUAAACUACUAAUAAUCUACUAGACUAAAAACCUAACUAUGGAUCCGGUCACGGUGUGGGUUCCCAAACGGGUUCAGGUCGUUUCAUGGAAGCGCUCUUGCAUCACUUGGCCUUGGGUGUUCAAAGCUUGCCUCCUGCUAUGCAUGGCUGGACCAGUGAUGCAGCUAGGCGUGGAGUUAUGUGUGGAUAAUUUAUGUAAUUUGGAUAUUUAUUUAUUUCCUAUAAUUUUAGGGUAGGGUGUCGAUCAAGUUAGUUGGGCUGGAAUCAGUCUUUUAGGGCAUGGAGUUAGAUCUUGAUUCUGCUUUAGAGUAGGUUCCUGUUUUGUUUCAGCUUCAAAAAACGAAAUUAGAUUUACUUUUAGUCUUCAAAUAUCAGCUUGUAGCCUUGUACCCAAUGAUUUAUCUGGAUUUGGAAGAAGUGAAAAUUGAUUAAAGGUUUUUGGUUUGAAACCAUGGCUGCCAAGAGGUGUGUGUCUCUUUCUUUAUUCUUCUUCUCCCUUUGAAAUUCUAUCUAAGAGGUGUGUCUCUUUCUCUGUUCUUCUUCUCCCUCUGAAAUUCUAUCUUUCUCAUCUCUUGCUGUUAUUCCAUAACUUGAUCAAGGGUCUCAUCCCAAAUAACUUACUUGGUGUGAGUUCAAAUCCGAAUUCUUCCCUGGUUUUGUUACUGUUCAUCAUCCCUGCAGCAGGACACGAACUGAGAAAGGCUUACUGGAACUCCUCUGGAAGAUCUCUAUUUGCCUGUAGGUUCAAACUGAAGGAAGCUGGUCUCCUAGCGUCCAACCCUUGAAUCUCAGACAUGACUCCUUGCCCUGUGAUGAGAUAACAAAUUGAGACCAAACCCGGUUCCUAUUCUAUUGCCAGGAACAAUUUCAGAGAGCUUUGUUUGAAGAAUUGAAGGCUGUCUGGCUGGGUUAAUACUUGGAUUUCAGAAAUUGAUAUAUUGCGAAUCAGAUCCCAAAGUAUUGACCUGAAUGAGCUUGUUGUCUGGGAGUUCUCUUCGCAAGCCUCUUUUGUUCCGCUGGUUUCUGGUUCACGACAAGAAGAAGAAGAAGAGAUUUCCUCUAUUGUUUAACCCUUUUAUUGUUACUUUCCCAUAUUACCUCACCUCUUAUCUUGUAUUAUCUCUUGUCCUAUUUUUAUCUCUGGUUCCUGAUUUUCCCUUUGUACCAUGCAACAUGUAACCAUUGCUUGUGUCUUGAAGUACAAUUAAAUUACAAGUCUGCCACUCCAUUUAAACUUCCAUCUAUUUACAGAAUUUCCACCCUCAUUUGAGACUUUGUUUAUUUACAAAUCUGUCAUUAUGUUUUGCAAUUGAGCUGUCUACUAUUUGUGUGGGCCCAUUAGCGGUUCGAUCCUGGUUUCGAACCCGGAUCCACAUCAACUGGCUUGACCAACUGGAAACCCAGACCGAGACAAACCAGAUCAAAACUUGGAUUCUGGUCCAAUAGGGAUUGGUAGGAAAUUAAUUAAUUUCUUGGGGUUAUUCUUGUAGUUUGCAUUUUAUUUUACUUGGUGAGAUUUGAUUGAGUUGUUUAGUUUCCUAGUUUAAGUGCUAUUUCAGUUUUAGAAAGUAAUUAGGAGUCUUUUAUAUAUAAAUAUAUAUAUAUAUAUAUAUAUAAAUUCAACAAUAGAGGGAGAAUGAUAUUGAAUAUUGAACGAAAAUUUGAGUUUGAACUGCCAUACGUCUGUGGAGCUGUGUGACCAGACAGAGAGAGGUUGAGUUGCUGACUUCAAGGAUUGAAGAAGGAUUGGAAGAAGAUUUAUAGUCUUGUUAAGUGUGUUUUUGAGUUCACAAGAUGAUGAGAUGUGCGGGUAUGUUUGUACAGCUCCAAAAACUAGGGACUCUCGAUGCAUCUAUCUCAGAAUCGAGAAAGGGUUUUAUUACAUGAUAGUCUGGACAUCUAAAUCCUUCUGGGGUUUCAGAUAUGUAAUCAUGCAUGGACAAUUCAAAUACAUAGAGUAGUGCUGUUACAUUUGAAAGUUAGAUUAUGAUAGGUACUGCUUUUUACAUUUCAUCUGAAAAGAGUCAUUUGUAAUUUCAUCAAUCAGGAGAAUUGGAGCUCCCAUUAAUUUGCAUUUUUGUAAAAUUCCUCCAGAGAGCCAUAUCAUCAUGUGUGUGGUCAUGUUUUUUAUUAGCAUUUUCCAAUUUAGCCUGUCUGUUUGUAUGUGUAAAUUAUUCAGUCUAAAUUUUAGAAUUACAUAUUUUUUUUUGUUUAA